rnacentral:rRNA from 1 species
GACGAACGCUGGCGGCGUGCUUAACACAUGCAAGUCGAACGGUAAGGCCCUUCGGGGUACACGAGUGGCGAACGGGUGAGUAACACGUGGGUGAUCUGCCCUGCACUUCGGGAUAAGCCUGGGAAACUGGGUCUAAUACCGGAUAGGACCACUGCCUGCAUGGGUGGUGGUGGAAAGCUUUUGCGGUGUGGGAUGGGCCCGCGGCCUAUCAGCUUGUUGGUGGGGUGAUGGCCUACCAAGGCGACGACGGGUAGCCGGCCUGAGAGGGUGACCGGCCACACUGGGACUGGGGAACCGCCCAGACUCCUACGGGGGGCAGGCGUGGGGAAUAUUUGACAAUGGGGGCAAGGCUGAUGCAGCGGCGCCGCGUGGGGGAUGACGGCCUUCGGGGUGUAAACCUCUUUCAGCACCGAAGAAGCGCAAGUGACGGGAGGUGCAGAAGAAGGAACGGCCAACUACGUGGCAGCCGCCGCCGUAA